rnacentral:misc_RNA from 1 species
GCUAGCGAGACCCCGUCUCUGCCGGGCGCGGUGGCGCGCGCCUGUAGUCCCAGCUACUCGGGAGGCUGAGGUGGGAGGAUCGCUAGUC